AGGUUUCCGUAGGUGAACCUGCGGAAGGAUCAUUACCGAAUUGUCAACACGAGUUGUUGCUGGUCCUCAAAUGGGGGCAYGUGCACGCUCUGUUUACACAUCCACUCACACCUGUGCACCUUCUGUAGUUCCAUGGCAUGGGGGACUCUGUCCUCCCGUUGUGGUCCUACGUCUUUACACACACCCUGUAACAAAGUCUUGUGGAAUGCAUAUGACGCGUUUAACGCAAUACAAUACAACUUUCAGCAACGGAUCUCUUGGCUCUCGCAUCGAUGAAGAACGCAGCGAAAUGCGAUAAGUAAUGUGAAUUGCAGAAUUCAGUGAAUCAUCGAAUCUUUGAACGCACCUUGCGCCCUUUGGCCAUUCCGAAGGGCAUGCCUGUUUGAGUAUCGUGAACACCUCAACUCUCAUGGUUUGCCAUGAUGAGCUUGGACUUUGGGGGUCUUGCUGGCCUGUGGUCGGCUCCUCUCAAACGGAUCAGCUUGCCAGUGUUUGGUGGCACCAUGGGUGUGAUAACUAUCUACRCUUGUGGUUUCCCACCAGAUAACCUUCAGCGAUGGAGGUUCACUGGAGCUCAUAAAUGUCUCUCCUCAGUGAAGACAGCUCUUUGAACGUUUGAUCUCAAAUCAGGUAGGACUACCCGCUGAACUUAAGCAUAUCAA
rnacentral:rRNA from 1 species